rnacentral:rRNA from 1 species
AUUGAACGCUGGCGGCAUGCCUUACACAUGCAAGUCGAACGGCAGCACGGGAGCAAUCCUGGUGGCGAGUGGCGAACGGGUGAGUAAUACAUCGGAACGUGCCCAAUCGUGGGGGAUAACGCAGCGAAAGCUGUGCUAAUACCGCAUACGAUCUACGGAUGAAAGCAGGGGACCGCAAGGCCUUGCGCGAAUGGAGCGGCCGAUGGCAGAUUAGGUAGUUGGUGGGGUAAAGGCUCACCAAGCCAACGAUCUGUAGCUGGUCUGCGAGGACGACAAGCCACACUGGGACUGAGACACGGCCCAGACUCCUACGGGAGGGCGCAGUGGGGAAUUUUGGACAAUGGGCGCAAGCCUGAUCCAGCCAUGCCGCGUGCAGGAUGGAGGCCUUCGGGUUGUAAACUGCUUUUGUACGGAACGAAACGGCCUUUUCUAAUAAAGAGGGCUAAUGACGGUACCGUAAGAAUAAGCACCGGCUAACUACGUG